GAUGAACGCUGGCGGCGUGCCUAAUACAUGCAAGUCGAGCGAAUGGAUUAAGAGCUUGCUCUUAUGAAGUUAGCGGCGGACGGGUGAGUAACACGUGGGUAACCUGCCCAUAAGACUGGGAUAACUCCGGGAAACCGGGGCUAAUACCGGAUAACAUUUUGAACCGCGUGGUUCGAAAUUGAAAGGCGGCUUCGGCUGUCACUUAUGGAUGGACCCGCGUCGCAUUAGCUAGUUGGUGAGGUAACGGCUCACCAAGGCAACGAUGCGUAGCCGACCUGAGAGGGUGAUCGGCCACACUGGGACUGAGACACGGCCCAGACUCCUACGGGAGGCAGCAGUAGUGAAUCUUCCGCAAUGGACGGACGACUGACGGAGAAACGCCGCCUGAGUGCUGAACGCUUUCAGGUCGUAAAGCUCUGUUGUUAGGGAAGAACAACUGCUAGUUGAAUAAGCUGGCACAUUGACGGUACCCAAGCAGAAAGCCACGGCUAACGACGUGCGAUCCGCCACAGAAA
rnacentral:rRNA from 1 species